GGCAGGAUAAAACACAGGAUGGACAUCAUGAUGCUGCCAUAGCUGGCUCUGCAAACCGAACGUAUCAACCUAAAUAAAGAGCUGUGGGCAGAGAAAGGACCAGGCAUACAAUAUAACAUACUACUGCUUCACUAAUCACUAAGCAUAAAUAAGCAGCGACACGACUGAGCAGCAAAUGG